rnacentral:rRNA from 1 species
UAAAAAAAGGUAAGCUACUAAGAGCGAAUGGUGGAUGCCUUGACUGGUAAAGGCGAUGAAGGACGUACUAGACUGCGAUAAGCUACGGGGAGCUGUCAAGAAGCUUUGAUCCGUAGAUUUCCGAAUGGGGCAACCCAAUGUAUAGAGAUAUACAUUACCUAUAUAGGAGCGAACGAGGGGAAUUGAAACAUCUUAGUACCCUCAGGAAAAGAAAUCAAUAGAGAUUGCGUCAGUAGCGGCGAGCGAAAGCGCAAGAGGGCAAACCCAGUGCUUGCACUGGGGGUUGUAGGACUGCAAUGUGCAAGAGGUAAGUUUAG